GGGGAAGAGGAAGAGGGAGGUAAGGCGGAUCUUAGUUAGAUGAAACAGACCCACACGUUUACAAUAGAAGCACCGUACCGUUUAGUUCAAAACGCUGUUUUCUACCGGUCCUGAGACUUUCUACUUUAACCAGCCUGUGCGUGCGUGACCUUUGACGCUCGGUGCGUCGCAGAGAGGACGAGGCGGUUCGGGAUCCGGCGACCAGCCGCUCGGACGUCCAAGGUGAUAAAAGUCAAGUAUUUCUUCCCAGAGAGAAGAGGAGUCUCAUGUACCACGCGCUGAUACAGAAGGGUUUGUGAAGCCAUUUUCAGCAGGGACAGUGGGAGACGCAGCCCUGUGUGUUUUUUGGACUCUUAACUAUCAGGACAAAGGAACAUCAGCAGGAAGCGGAACACGGAACAGACAGUAAAGGUGACUGUCCUCUGAGUUCACCCCCCUCUUCCAGGAUGAACGGCUACCCCCCUCCCUCCUUCCCCCAGGGAGGGUUCGACUCAUACGCCUCGCAACUCAAUGGUCAUGGUUCCCAGUCCACAGAGCCUCCAGAUUGCAACGCCAGGUCCAACACCAAGUCCAUCUCUAAAACCCUUUACGAACAACGGAAGAACUACACCAAAAACAGCAUCAACAGCAUGACUAACACCUCCCAGUACCACGUAGAGGUCAGUCUACAUACAGCAUGACUACCACCCUCA
rnacentral:lncRNA from 1 species